rnacentral:rRNA from 1 species
CACUCCUACGGGAGGCAGCAGUGGGGAAUAUUGCACAAUGGGCGCAAGCCUGAUGCAGCCAUGCCGCGUGUAUGAAGAAGGCCUUCGGGUUGUAAAGUACUUUCAGCGGGGAGGAAGGCGAUAAGGUUAAUAACCUUGUUGAUUGACGUUACCCGCAGAAGAAGCACCGGCUAACUCCGUGCCAGCAGCCGCGGUAAUACGGAGGGUGCAAGCGUUAAUCGGAAUUACUGGGCGUAAAGCGCACGCAGGCGGUCUGUCAAGUCGGAUGUGAAAUCCCCGGGCUCAACCUGGGAACUGCAUUCGAAACUGGCAGGCUAGAGUCUUGUAGAGGGGGGUAGAAUUCCAGGUGUAGCGGUGAAAUGCGUAGAGAUCUGGAGGAAUACCGGUGGCGAAGGCGGCCCCCUGGACAAAGACUGACGCUCAGGUGCGAAAGCGUGGGGAGCAAACAGGAUUAGAUACCCCGGUAGUCCCA